rnacentral:rRNA from 1 species
UGGGGAAUAUUGGACAAUGGGGGCAACCCUGAUCCAGCCAUGCCGCGUGAGUGAAGAAGGCCUUCGGGUUGUAAAGCUCUUUUAGUCGGAAAGAAAGAGUUGCAAUGAAUAAUUGUGAUUUAUGACGGUACCGACAGAAAAAGCACCGGCUAACUACGUGCCAGCAGCCGCGGUAAUACGUAGGGUGCGAGCGUUAAUCGGAAUUACUGGGCGUAAAGGGUGCGCAGGCGGUCUUGCAAGUCAGAUGUGAAAGCCCCGGGCGUAACCUGGGAAUUGCGUUUGAAACUACAAGACUAGAGUGCAGCAGAGGGGAGUGGAAUUCCAUGUGUAGCAGUGAAAUGCGUAGAGAUGUGGAAGAACACCGAUGGCGAAGGCAGCUCCCUGGGUUGACACUGACGCUCAUGCACGAAAGCGUGGGGAGCAAACA